GCGGAUGUGGCGAAAUUGGUAGACGCGCUAGAUUUAGGUUCUAGUUUCCUUUGGAAGUGGGGGUUCAAGUCCCUUCAUCCGCACCA
rnacentral:tRNA from 2 species